rnacentral:ncRNA from 1 species
GACAAGUUUUAUUCUUGCUUAAUUAUUUAUUAUAUAAUAAAAUUAUAUGCAAAUUGUUAAAAUUAUAAUUUCUUAAUGAAUUUAUAUAAGUUUAUUGGCAGUAAUUAAUAUUAGUAAUUUAAUAAAUUUUGAAUUAGUUAUUUAUAUUAAAUAUUGAUGAAAUAUGUGCCAGCAGUCGCGGUUAUACAUAAAAUAUGAGUAAAUAUUUUCAGUUGAAUAGUUAUUAUGAUUAAAUUAAUUAAUAAAUUUUAUUUUUGGGUAGAAUUUAAUUUUUUUUCUUGAUUAAAAUUAUUAAUAUAAGAAGCUAUAAAAUCUAAUUAAUUAAACUAGGAUUAGAUACCCUAUUAUUAUAGAUGUAAAUUUUAGUACUUGAGUAGUAUUAGUUAUGAUCUUUAAACUUAAAGAAUUUGGCGGUAUUCUAGUCUAUUUAGAGGAAUCUGUUCCAUAAUCGAUAAUCCGCGUUGGACCUUACUUAAUUUAUAAAUAUGUAUACCGCCGUUUAUUGAAAAUCUUAUUAGGGUAAAUUUUCUUGAUACAAAAUUUUGUAAUAUUUCAGGUCAAGGUGCAGUAUAUAAUUAAGUGGAAAUGGAUUACAAUAUUUUAAUAGUACGAAUUAUAAUUUGGAAUAUAUUAUAUAAAGGUGGAUUUAAUAGUAAUUUUGAAAAGAUUAUUAAGGUGAUUGAAGCUCUAGAAUGUGCACACAUCGCCCGUCACUCUCGUUAUUAAGAUGAGAUAAGUCGUAACAAAGUAGGUGUACCGGAAGGUGUAGCUAGAUUGAU